UGGGGAAUUUUCCGCAAUGGGCGCAAGCCUGACGGAGCGACGCCGCGUGGGGGAGGAAGGCCUUCGGGUCGUAAACCCCUGUUCUUGGGGACGACACAAGGACGGUACCCAAGGAGGAAGCCCCGGCUAACCUACGUGCCAGCAGCCGCGGUAAUACGUAGGGGGCGAGCGUUGUCCGGAAUCACUGGGCGUAAAGGGUGCGUAGGCGGCUUUUUAAGUCCCGUGUGAAAGGCCCCGGCUCAACCGGGGAGGGCCACGGGAAACUGAAGGGCUUGAGUGCCGGAGAGGGUUGCGGAAUUCCAGGUGUAGCGGUGAAAUGCGUAGAGAUCUGGAGGAACACCAGUGGCGAAGGCGGCAACCUGGACGGUAACUGACGCUGAGGCACGACAGCUGGGGGAGCGAACAGGAUUAGAUACCCCCGUAGUCC
rnacentral:rRNA from 1 species